rnacentral:rRNA from 1 species
GACAGAGGGUGCAAGCGUUGUUCGGAAUUAUUGGGCGUAAAGGGCGCGUAGGCGGCUAUGUAAGUCAGAUGUGAAAGCCCGGGGCUCAACCUCGGAAGUGCAUCUGAUACUGCGUAGCUUGAAUCUCGGAGAGGGUGGUGGAAUUCCCAGUGUAGAGGUGAAAUUCGUAGAUAUUGGGAGGAACACCGGUGGCGAAGGCGACCACCUGGACGAAGAUUGACGCUGAGGCGCGAAAGCGUGGGGAGCAAACAGG